AUUCAAGAGAGACGGUUCACUCAAAAAAGAAAAUUAUGUCUUUUUACUGAUUUACUGAUGAUGACUUCAAUUACGUCAACAAAGCAUCUCUGAACACACACACACACACACACACUCACUCACACACACACACACACACACACACACACACACUCACUCUUUAAGUUUCUGAUUUCACCUGAUCUUGUGUUACACACUCACACAUAUCUGCAGUGACAGACAUCAGCAGGUGACGCAGAAUCAGGAACCCUGCAUCUGUUUUUCAUCACACAUGAACAGAGAUUUAAAGGCAUCUUCCAACUUUCAACAGGUUCAGAUUGAUUUUCUUUUCUUCACAUACAUUUUCACCAGUUUAUACACUCACAAAAGCAAUUAAAUAUUUUACAAAUCAGCAUAAUAAGAAUGUAUUUACAAUAGAAAUUUCACAAUUUUUACACUUUCCAUAACCAUGUGAACUCUAAAAAGUUCACACAAGAAUCUCUCGCUGGGAAAAUGCGAUUCAAAAUAAAUCUAAAGAUAUAAAAGCAAAAAAUCAGCUGUUGCACUGAUUUACCGCUGCAACACAACACCCAAAAACAGCCUUUCAGAAGCAACCGGCUUGACUUCUGCAGUUUAAUGGUGAUAAACAUCUGCGAAGAGUCUGUUUCCCUUCAACUCGUCGUGACCCGCAGCGCCUCCGAGAAGCUCACGUAUCUGUGAAGUAUUUUUAGGUUUGGCAAGGAGAGGCAAAAAACCCAAUGCAUGCUUUCAUAAUGUGACACCAGAUGAAGGUGCACAACUCUUACCAAAGUCUUGCAGCACAAUUAAAAUUUCACCCUUUGAGAAUGACUGACACCUGCAAGUAGAUGCACUGCGCCUCCUUACUGCGUUCUACAGCUGAAGACUGGACGCCCGUGUCAGGCUAUUUACAGAUAAUGCUGAGCAAGAGAACAUUCCCACAGCUGAAAUGACAUGAAGAGAGCGACCCGUUCGCCUGCGAAGCGCCUCUGAUUAAUGCAGCCUGCAAGAAAAUGGAAACAAUGGAAAUAAUGGAUCCGGAAAGCCAGAUGACAGCACUGGAGGACGACAUGCCGGCGGAAGAACUGGAACCGCUGAACGACGCACUGAAGGAUUUGAGCAACAGUCUGAGAGAGGUCGUCCAGGAUGGUGCUGUGAAGCCCAAACUCCACUGCCUGAUGAUGGAUCCAUCCUUCUCCAUGGUCACGGUCCAGAGCGAGGAUAGCGGGAUUGUUUGGGAAACCGCUUCCAGCCGCUGCUCUACGCCGUGGGCCUCCGAGUUCAACGCAGAACCCGCAUAUCCUCCCUGCACUUCUGGAACGGCUGGCAGGAUUGUGUUCAUUAUGGAUGAAGAACUGAUGAGCAGAAGGAAGAAAAAGCAAAGAUCUGAGAAAACAAAGACUCUUCCGCAAGUCAGCCGCGAAAUUCUGGCGGAAGCAGAGAGACCGGCCAUGGUAGAAGUGUCCGUGCCUAAUGUGAUGCCGCGGAGGGAGCAGAAGAGCACAAAACGGCAGAUCUAAAAGAAGAGCGUCUGUUCAGUCUAGUCUCUGAAGGAUCCGAGAUACUAAACAUCAUUGCUUCGCUGAAAGUGUCCACGGUGGACGAAGAGGAAAGCAAAGGUCUGGAAGACAAUUUGUACUACCUUGAGGAGACACCUACCGUGAAAUACACAGAGAUCCCAGAUGAACCUGAGCUGGAUGUUCAUUCUGAAACUGAGAAGAUCCCUUCAGUGAUACCAGAGCCCUUAGUCUCAUUCCCUCAUGUCCAAGUCCCUCGAAGAGGCACGACAGCUGAAGACUACUUUGAGAAGUUCACACUCCUUGACAAUCAAGCGCCAUCGGGAGCGACGCCCGUUGAUGAAGCCCAGCAGCAAACAGAGGAAAAGAUCACAGAAGACGCCGAUAAUGCUCCUGAUGUGGAACCAGGCCCCGGUGUCUCCUCAGCUGUGAGUAUGCUAGACAUUUCUGGUGAACACUUGGACGAUGUGUUUUACGGUGGAGGGGGCGAGCCACACAGUCUCGAUACUGCUGCGAGUGUUGGCGAAAAGGGAAGGGUGCCGUCCAAAUCCUCUCUGAAGGAAAGCGGCAGCGCGUUGUUUGGAAGCGAGGAGUCGGUCCUCACUCCCAUAUACCUUCCUGAAAGUCCUCAGAAAAUCAUCGACCCCAACCUGCUGGAGGAGCCCAAAGCCUUGGCGUUUUUGUACUCGGAUCUGUACGCGGAUGCCAUCGGGACCAGGAAGAAGAAGGAUGAUGACGCCGAGAGCGUGACCUCUGAGAAAUCCUUCCACAGUCAAGAGUCUGACUCCGAGGACAGAGGCUAUCUGGAGAAGUUCGUGCUCAAGGUUGAGACUCAGGCCACGGAGAACGACUUCAGGCGUCCUGAAGAACGGCAUGACCCUUUCAGACUCACUGGAUUCGUGGAACGCCACAAAGCGGAAGUGGAAAAUCAGGCAGAAGAGCUGGAAGAAAUCACGGAUUUCUUUAGAAACAGCGCAUCUUCGUCACCCUGCGAACCUGUCGAGCGGAUGGAGAGAGAAGAAGAGAUCGAAGUUGUCAGGACUCCUCGGGUUACUUUCAAAGAACCUGCGCCAACACGUACAGAACAACGGGCGAGCGAUCCUCAACCAUUCGCUGACGACGCUGAGUUUUUCAGAAGAAUUUUUACCGGUUGAAAUAAGUGAGGAUUGUCCAGCAUGGGAGGAAAACUUGCCGACGAUUGUCAGAGAUGCUGCUGUAAAAUCAACUUCAACCCGGAUAGAUGCACCAAAACUUAAACCAAAGCCAGUAAGCGAUAACAGCCAAAUCCAAGCCCAAAACACAGUCAAACCCAUAACUCCACGCCACAAACCCUUCUUGGAUCUGACCCCACUGCUGCCCGUCGAGACCGAGGAUGAGAAAGAAACAACAGAGGGUGAAAAGGAGAAAGAGAACACAAGCUCUGAAGAUGCUGGAUCAUCCAGCACUAAAGAAGAGGGUACAGACUGCUCGCUCUCCAAAGCGAUUCCUGACAUGUAGGACUGCAAUGAUCCCUCAAAACGGCUGGAUUAUCUGCAUGAGGGCAAUGCUGAAGCGGAUCAUGUUGAUGCUCCAGCUGCCUUGAGAAAGUCUGAUUGACAUUUAAGGGUCACUGAUUCGCUGGCUUGACAACGAGUGAUCCGUCUGCAUUUGUGACGUCCUGCAAAAGAACAGAAAACGAGCAGAACAUUAUCAUAUGUCUCUGAGCGCAUAGUCUGGAAUGGAAAAACAUAAAUAUGGAAUAUAGUUAAUGUACAGUAUAUGGUUGUAUAAGGCUAAUGAGACAAAACUGUGUGUUUGUGAGAGUGUAUGUACAGAUUACAACUCACCUGCACAGCUGAAAAAUAAGUAAAUGAUAAAAAAUAAAAAAAACAUUUUAUCUUUGUACAAUAACUAUGCUUAAAUGAUGUACAUAUGGCUAUAAUAUUCACCUCUAGACACCAUGUAGAAUAGUUUUUUUUCUGCUCAGGCUUCAGCAUAUGUACAACAGUGGAAUUAUUAUAUUUAAAAAUAAUCACAAACGUGUAGACAUAUGUGAAUACAAUGAAUAAAGUAGAAAUGAUUUACUGUUAGCAUGAUGAAUGUUUUGUUUCAUGUCAGUCAAGUAUCUAAAAGUCAUUGUUUUCUCAUCAAAAUCUUUAAUGAUAAGCCUAAACUUGUGCAUCAACCACCAAUCAAAAAGUCGUACAUUGCUAGAGUGAAUUAAAUCUCUAAUAUGAAGCACAUGAUCGACUGCUUACCUGUAUCUGACCCCCAACUAAACGUCAUUAAGCACUCAAUAUUCAGUUUUUAAUUGUUUCUUAAACCUUCAGGGAAGGUAAUACUAUUAUUUGUCGUGAAGUGUCUUACCUCAGUAAUUCGCGCCUUUUCCUGUCAGUCUCCGGGCGCGCGAUCGCGACAAUCACAGACGUUUGACGUUUACGACCGGCCGAAUGUGGAACAAUUUACGCCUCAUUAGAAAAAAAAAAGCACGCUUUUGUAAAUCAAAAUUAAUACAUAAAUCGAAAUUAAGUCCAAAUACGUAAAAUUUUAAACUAUGACGUUUCAUAAUUACGACAUUAAAAAUUUAAAUAAAAAGUCACAAUUACGAUUUAUCAUAUUUUUCUUAUGUGGCAGAAAAAGGCUUCCAUAUUAAUAACAUUAAUUUAAGAAAUAAUAUAAAAACACGUCUGUACACACAAACCGCAAAAACAUGAACAUGGAAAAAUAUGGGUUUGAUUUACCAAACCUGAGAAUGAAUUACAAUUUGCAAUUAAUUGCAAAUUGUAGUCUAGUACAGAUUACAAAUUACAUGACGAAAAUUAGUAAUGUAAACUAAAUUACUAAAUUACUUUUUGAUUACUUUUGAUUUAAAAUCUCAGGAGUAAAUACUGUAAUGAAAAAGGGUUUGUCUGACAAAAAAAAGUUUGGGAAUCCCUGCUUACAUAAACAAUAAUAAACAUGAAAACAAUAAUUUGUGAAGGUCACUGGAAAUGAUGAAGACGGUGUUUCACAGCUAUAUAUUAUAUGUUUAGUAACUUGCAUAAUUAUUCAUCUCGUUUCUGUAUAAUUUUAGAAGCAUCACAAAUUUACUUACAUGACCAUUUUAUAUUGUGAACACCGUCAAAGCUAAACAGUCUAGGAUUAUUUAGAAAGGAAAAUUUAAGAGUAAAAAGAAUUAGGGAGAAACAAAUUUUGAAUAAUUUACUGCCAUUGUAACAUGUAAGCAUGUCCUCCAUAAAAAGCAACUAAUCUCAUCAUGAGCAUUUUAAAACAUAAUAUAAUCUAAUUACAAGUACUAAACCUUUGGAGUCUGAUGACAUAAUCCAGAUUACAUGAAAUCAGUUACUACCCAGAACUGGUUAUAAUAUUACAAGCUACACGUAACUGAAUGUAGGCUACAUAAGAGUACCAUGUAUAUACCAUAAUAUAUAUUGAAACUAAGGGAUAGGGCAAUGAUAAAAUAUAGAAAUAAAAAUAGAUAAAGUGUCGGCACAUUUGAAAAGCUCUAUGGUAGUUUUUGCCAGUUUAAAUGGCUUCUGUGCAAUUUAGAAAGUGCAAAUAUUCCCUGCCUAAUGAAUAAUUGUGCACAUAUCUGCUCCAUAUUAAUCACGUGAGUCUUACCUGCGGUGCAGAGACGGUCUGAUCCGGAUCCGGAUCUAGCAGCAGUCAGUAAUCCGGUUCACGCAUGAACCAUGAUGUCAUGAAACAAUCACACUUUUGUUUUUAAACAGACACAUUUACACAAAUGAGGGGGAAAACUUUAUCUAACAUUUUCCCCUAAAAUUUUAAACCUUUUUAACCGAAAAGCACAGAUAUUUAAAUAUUAGAACAGCGGGAACUGUUGAAAAGAGUUGUUUAACAUCAUCACUGAUCUAAAAACACACUUGAUAAGUUAUGAUGACAUAAUCAUCAUCAUCUGUAAGAAAUAAAGACAGCAGCCAGACGACUGUAACAGAGUGUUUGACAACUAUUAUUAUUAUUAUUAUUAUUAAUCUCUCUUUACACCCAGUGUUGUGUGGACAUCUUACUUCAGUACAUCAUGGUUUUAUUGCAGUUCAAAACCGUGUAGAAAAACAAUUUAACAGCACAGAUAAAAGCACGUCUGAUAAACCAUCAUCGUUCCUGGAGAUAAACACACGCAAACGCUGACUCCGACUGCGAAUCGAUCAGCUUCAUAAUGAGAUUGCAAAUAAAAAGUGAUUAUGAUUAAAAAUACAACAGAAGAAACAAAAAAACGAUGAACUUCCCCAAAAGAUAAUCGCUUUAAUGAUAGAUGUGUGAUUGAAUUCUGAGAACGUGUGUGAGAUUUCCAACCGGGAGUCUUUUAAUAGUUUCAAUAAAAAACAUCCAGACGGAACAAACCCAGAGAACUUUCUUCCCGACACGAGGAGAGGAACCGAGCGGCUCGACGGCGCUUUCUGAUCGAUCCCGGGCUUGAUGAUCACAGAGAGAAGCUUAUGCGGCAGAGAAACGCACGGGUCCGUCUCUCUGAAGACGCCAGACAAAUAAUCAUGGUUGAUCCUGACAAGGACACGAGCAGAUCGUCCUCACACACACACACACACACACACACACACACAUUCACUCGGGCACAAAUAAAAACAGAAAGAAAACACCCCUAGAAUGACGCAGCUGUCACUGCUGUCCAUGUGCAACACAGAAACAAGCCCGACACACACACACACGCACGCAC